AUACGGAAGGUCCGGGCGUUAUCCGGAUUUAUUGGGUUUAAAGGGAGCGCAGGCGGAGAUGCAAGCGUGACGUCAAAUUUCGGGGCUCAACCCCGUCUCGCGUCGCGAACUGCGUCCCUUGGUUGCGGGAAGGGGAGGCGGAACUCGUGGUGUAGCGGUGAAAUGCAUAGAUAUCACGAAGAACUCCGAUCGCGAAGGCAGCCUUCCGGCCCGUCAACGACGCUCAUGCUCGAAGGUGCGGGUAUCAAACAGGAUUAGAUACCCUGGUAGUCCGCACAGUAAACGAUGGACACCCGCGGUUUGGCCUAUAUGGCUGAGCCGCCAAGCGAAGGCGUUAAGUGUCCCACCUGGGGAGUACGCCGGCAACGGUGAAACUCAAAUGAAUUGACGGGG
rnacentral:rRNA from 1 species